rnacentral:rRNA from 1 species
GGACCCGCACAAGCAGUGGAGCAUGUGGUUUAAUUCGACGCAACGCGAAGAACCUUACCAGCGUUUGACAUGGAAAGUGCCGGUUACAGAAUGGUAACCUUCAGUUCGGCUGGCUUUCGCACAGGUGCUGCAUGGCUGUCGUCAGCUCGUGUCGUGAGAUGUUGGGUUAAGUCCCGCAACGAGCGCAACCCCACGUCUUUAGUUGCCAGCAUUUAGUUGGGCACUCUAGAGAGACUGCCGUGAUAAACCGGAGGAAGGUGUGGAUGACGUCAAGUCAUCAUGCCCCUUACAUCUGGGCUACACACGUACUACAAUGCUACGGACAAAGGGCAGCAAGUUCGCGAGGACAAGC